UCGAUGAAAGACUAAACAAACGGUAAGCAUAAAAAAAAAACCACGCACCUGGGAUGCAAUGUCGUAAGAGAGAAAAAGAGAGGAGGAAGACGAUAAAGAUAUCAGAAACAACAAUAGAACGCCACAACAAAAAGAAGACGUGCCGAAAGGGAGAAAAAGAAGAGUGCCGCAAGAGAAAAAGGAGAAGAGGAAGAGGAAGAUAUCAGAAACUGAAUGCCGCGAAGAGUUUGCGGUCUAUUUAAAAUGAAACUGGCGUCGGUUUCUCCACAUAACCGACAUCUAUAUGACUAUAGACGUCAGUUCCGUUACUAAUUCGACGUCCAAGUUAACUUUUCAACUGACCUUUUGAAUCCCACUAGACGUUGGUAACAAUGGGAACCGACGGGAACCGACGUCUAGGAAGCUGAAACGAUUGACAUUUGAUUUCCUGUCAGGGAUGUUGACGACAGUUGUGAUGGGGCGCUGACGCCUAUAAUGAUGCACAUCAUUACUUACAGGCAAAUAGACGUCGGUGCCCCUUCUAGCCAACGUCUAUGGCCCUCGAAUUUGGUGAAUCUAAUUAAUUACAGGCACGUAGACG
rnacentral:lncRNA from 1 species